UUUGUGUCCCCCUAGAGCAAAUGAAGCUUCAUGAAGGAUUGCUCCGGAGUGAACCAAUGGGAAGAAAGGCUUCAGUGCUUCAAGAAAGCUUCAUCUGCAUCUGCCCAUCACUACUGGAGCUGGAGAGCUGGACUGAAAGGACGAGGGAACGAUGGAGUUUGAGCAGCUACAGGACAAGCUAAGUGAAGCGUUGGUGCAGCUCCAAAAGUCCUCUGAUGAGGAGGCUUCAAUCAUGGGAGGACUGAGACUUGAUGUUGUACUAAUUGAAGAUGGAGAAGACAUGGUGGAACAUCAGUUGUUCUUGAAGAACAAAUCAUUUUGAACCAUAUGAAGGACUUUCCUCAUGCCAUUGCUCUGCUGAUGGGCCUGCUGUCUGCACCCAACAUGGACUUUACAAGAGGUCAGCGCUACACUUUUGAGGUCAUUCAAAAGAUCUUCAUGGACAUUGGUGAGGGACGGUGCUCCUCGUUAGUUCAUGGUCUGAGAAAUACAAUAUAGAUUUUGGUUUGAUUAAUUAUGGUUUUGUCUCCAGAAUGUUAGGAAAGUAACCUGUAAAGGAAGGAGUCAUUGCCCAACAGAUUAUUUUUUUCUCCUGAGCAUAAUGGGAGUAAGAAAUGUCCAUCCUGAAAUUAUUUUAUGUUUGAAAAAUAAAUAAAGGAAUUAUGGUUGAAAUUUGUUGUUUUUCUUGAAAACCCACUUGUUUUAAUUAUCUAUCAUUUUCUAUUUCAAUGAAUCACAGUGUCCAAAUAUUAUAGUACUAAUUUAGGGCAUUUUAAUUUUUUAAAAUAUUCUUCUUUAGGUCUAGUCAAUUAAAAAUAUUUAACUAAAAUUUGCACAUUAGUUUGAUUAAAAAAAAACGAGCGAAGCGACUAUAAAAGGAGCUGAUCUACCAUGCAGCUCAAAACAUUUUUCUUACCUUUUAAAAACUGAGAUUCUGUGAAACAUUUGCUGUAAAAAGAAAAAAACUAAACUGCAUCAGAUCAUAAAGAAAAAA